rnacentral:rRNA from 1 species
CUUUCUUUGCUGGCGACCGGCGCACGGGUGAGUAACACGUAUCCAACCUGCCCUUUACUCGGGGAUAGCCUUUCGAAAGAAGGAUUAAUACCCGAUAGUAUAAUGAUUCCGCAUGGUUUCAUUAUUAAAGGAUUCCGGUAAAGGAUGGGGAUGCGUUCCAUUAGGUUGUUGGUGAGGUGACGGCUCACCAAGCCUUCGAUGGAUAGGGGUUCUGAGAGGAAGGUCCCCCACAUUGGAACUGAGACACGGUCCAA